GCAAGAUCUACACACGUGUGCAUGUGGUGUUUGGUGAAGAAGUAUUAAACUUGUACACAUAUAUAAUAUAUACAGCAAACAGCCAACCAUGCAACGAAUGUCAAUGAAUCCAGAAGGUCUGGGCCUCUCCAGUGAACAGGUAAAGAAGAUGGAGGAAGAAGAGGCAUUGGCUGCAAGAUGGAAUGUCAUAUCGAGUGUCACUGCUUUUGGGACGAUAGUACUCUUGUUGAGAGUUGGUCCGACAGUUUGGAGACUCAUUACCAAGCAAAUAUCAUGAGGUGCCACACUCAGUAACUGUCUGUUAGCUACUCCGUGAGCAGUCAUAAAUUAUUUUGUGUUCUCUGAAAUCAUGAAAACAUGUCAUCUCAUUAAUACAGGCAUGCAUUAUUAAGUUGAUUUGAA